CCAGCCACUUGUAAACAAAGCUCUGGAAAAAGGGGAGGAACGAGCCAUCACUGAAACCUUUCUCUCCAGUGUGCCAUGCUCUCCCCACUUUGUGUUGUUGAGAGUUUGGACACCUUCCAAAGAGUGCAUUGAAAAUAAGUGGGCGGGAGGAAGGAGAGGGGCAGGGCGGGCUGCCUUAUACAGCGGGCGAGAGAACCUUCCCAAGAGCUUUGAUUUUGGUCACUCUUAUCCUCAUGAUAACGAUAUCCUUUUCCCAUUUUGUGGAUGGAAAAAUUGGAAUCUAGAGCUAGGUGUAAGACCCAGGUCUCUUCUGUCUCAACCCAUUGCCCACCAAAUGCAAGUAAUCUUCAACACAUAGCCAUAAUCUAAUCAAUUCUAUUGCUACCUCCUUGGUCCAAACCACCGCAGUCUCUUGCCUAGAUUGGGAGUGACCGCCUAACUGAUAGGCUCUUGACACCUCCAGAAUUCAGUCUUAUCUAACCACCAGUGUUCCUCUUAAAACCUUCCAUUGACUUCCCUUCUUAGAGUAAAAUAUAAAGUCCUUUGGGGGUGGCUGAAGCGGCAUUAUUAUCUACCGAAGUCCUGUGAGGUCUGGGCCAGUCACAGCUCUCUGACGGUAUUUCCUCCCGCCUUCCCCCUCUGUUUCAGCCCUGUUGGCUUUGCCUUCCUUGACUACAUCAGAGAUGCUUCCACCUUUGGGCUCUACCUGCUGUUCCUUCUUCCUGGAAUUCUGCCCAGAUCUCUCGCUCACUCACUCCUUCAUCCCCUUGCAGUCUUUGCUGUAAUGUAACUUUGUCAGCAAAGUGAUAACCCUAUUGAAAAUUGCCAUCCACGCUACCUACCUUUUUUUCCCUUAGCACUUACAAUCUGAUAUGUAGUUUAUUUAUUUAAUGCCUCUUCCCCCUACCAGAAGGUAAGCUUCAUGAGAACAGGAAUGUUUACCUCUUUACUCAUUGUUUUAUUUCCAAUACCCACUCUAGCGCUGGUCGCAAAACAGGCACUAAAUAAUUAUUGGAUAAAUAAGUGACUGCUAUUCCACUCUGUAGCUAGGUACUGAACAAGACAGAAUUCCCGUCCGUAAUAUAUUGUGCUUCCUUUUUCUAGGCGGUCUCAGGGACUAUGGGCUUAAAGAUAAAAUUCUUCUCUAGAGCGGGGGGUCUGUAAUACAGCCUCCGAGCCAAAUUCCACCCACGCCUUCUUUUUUGUACUGCCCACGAGGCUGAGCCCGGCAGCCCUGCUGUACCUAAAGUAGGAACUGCAGCUACAGAGGAUGUUCUUGUGGGCAUUGAACUCAAAGCCAUUGACCUUGAUGACCACGUCGCAGAGCUUGCCCUCCAGCCUAAGCUCGUUGAAGAUCUCACAGGUCAUCGCACUCAUCUUCCUCUCCAUGUGAGCUCCACACUGGCCCCCAGACACCGCGUUCAUGGAAACCAGGCCAGAGGAGGCAGGAGGGAGAGGCAACAUUGAUGAGCCUGUCAUUCUGGCCCAGCUGUCCAGGCCCCUCCUGCGCUCCGGACACGAGGUGGACACUCAGCAUCUUCCGUGGGGCGCGGGCCCAGAAACGCACCCGCGGUGGGGCUCCUUCCGCCCCCUCCAUCCUGCUGCCCUUCCCUCUGCAAACGAAGCCCGAAGCCACCAUGCUUGCAGGGGUUUUGCUCUAGAAAGAGUGGCACCCAGUCACCCCAACCCCUUGGGACCGUCACCCUCCUCCACACAGAGCCCCCAGCAGGGUCUUCCCCGGCGC